GAGGCAGCAGCAAGGAAUAUUGUGCAAUGGGCGAAAGCCUGACACAGCGACACCGCGUGGAGGAAGAAGGCCUUCGGGUUGUAAACUCCUUUUAUCAGGGACGAAUAAUGACGGUACCUGAUGAAUAAGCCUCGGCUAACUACGUGCCAGCAGCCGCGGUAAGACGUAGGAGGCAAGCGUUAUCCGGAUUUACUGGGCGUAAAGAGGGCGCAGGCGGCUUGGUCAGUCGGAUGUAAAAUCCUCCGGCUUAACUGGAGGGGGCCAUUCGAUACUGCCAGGCUAGAGUGCAGCAGAGGAAAGUGGAAUUCCCGGUGUAGUGGUGAAAUGCGUAGAUAUCGGGAGGAACACCAGUGGCGAAGGCGGCUUUCUGGGCUGCUACUGACGCUGAGGCCCGAAAGCGUGGGGAGCGAACAGGAUUAGAUACCCUGGUAGUCCACGCCCUAAACGAUGGACACUAGGUAUGGGGAGUAUCGACCCUCUCCGUGCCGCAACCAACGCGUUAAGUGUCCCGCCUGGGAAGUACGGUCGCAAGAMUAAAACUCAAAUGAAUUGACGG
rnacentral:rRNA from 1 species